rnacentral:rRNA from 1 species
AUGAUAUUGCACCAACGUGUCUGGAAAGGGUUAGCACAUGAUGCUAACAUACUUAGUGACAUCACGAGUUGUCCUGAUGGCAUCAACAUCAUUGAUGGCAAGUUCUACCUAGGAGAUGAUGUCUAUGCAUGUCGGCCAUGUGUACUUCCACCCUUCAGGAAGACCCGGUAUCAUCUGAAUGAGUUCUCUAGUAGGAACUACCCUAGGACUCCACAUGAACUAUUCAAUCUGAGACACUUCAGCCUUAGAGUAACGGUUGAGAGGGUAUUUGGAGCUCUGAAGAACAUGUUCAAGAUCCAGGAUCAGAAGCCAUUCCACCCUUACCCUACCCAGGUUAAGCUUGUUCUUGCAUGUUGCAUUUUGCAUAACUAGAUCCUGCAAUGGAGUUGUGAUGAACUGGUGCCUGAGAAGGAAGAUGUGACGCCUGACGAUAUUGACCUCGGUGACCAUGGUGUUGAGGCAUUUGACAACAAAGCCUGGAAGAACAAAAGGCUGGAGUGGGCACAAGCAAUGUGGGAUAACAGAGGUUAG